GACAGAGGUGCCAAGCGUUAUGCGGAAUCACUGGGCUUAAAGCGUGUGUAGGCGGAUUUGUAAGUACCUUGUGAAAUCCCACGGCUCAACCGUGGAACUGCUCGGUAUACUGCUUAUCUUGAGCCACUUAGGGGCUACCGGAACAAAUGGUGGAGCGGUGAAAUGCGUAGAUAUCAUUUGGAACGCCAAUGGUGAAAACAGGUAGCUGGGAGUGUGCUGACGCUGAGACACGAAAGCCAGGGGAGCGAACGGG
rnacentral:rRNA from 1 species